GCGGCUUCUUCGGUGUAGUACUUGGGGGCUGCCGUGUUGUAGCUAGGUGUAGCGUAGGUCGUGGUGUAGUAGACUGGAGCACCAGUGUAGUAUUUCUGUUCAACGUAGCACGAAAGAGUAGCUUCUGUGCAGUAAGUCUGAACUGCGUAAUACUUGGCCGCAUCAGUUAUGGUUGUGUGAAUCGGGGCAGAGUAGUACUUAACCGCUUCGGUGUAGUAUUCGACCGUUUUGGUGGAGUAAUCAGCGGGAACCUCGGUGUAGCAGCUGGGAACAGAAUAGUAUUUAGGAAAAUCGGUGCAAUAAGCAGCUGAGAAUAGAG